AUUUUGUACUCCAAAAUCCAAAAGUCCAAAACCCAUCUUCUCUUUCCUCGUGGGCUCUUCAUCCAUGGAGGCUCGCUCUCACCUCCUCAUUGUCUCUCCUCUAUCUCUUGUGCUUAACUACCACCGCUCUGCCACCAUUUUCGGAAUCCACCAUCUUCGCGCUACCACCAUCUCCGGUCCUCUCCUCCAUUUAUCAGAGAAGGCAGACUGCAAGGGGUUGGUCAAUGCCUAAUCCACGAGUUUAGGAUGGUUAGCCAUGUUCUGCAAGGAGAAGUCAGCAAAGAUUUCUUCGAGGGAGAAGAUGCAUCGAUUGAAGCUGCUGUUAAUGCUAUAUCUUAUUUCUUAAGAGAACCUGUUAGUCUAAGUAAUUGCUCUGAGGUAAUGUAAAUAGAAUGUUCUAGCUUGGAGACCAAGCCUGUAUUUAUUUCUUAAGAUAGUAAAACUGUGAUUUACUUUUAAGGGAGUUAGUAGGUUCAUAUAAUUAAGUUACCUUUCCCUGUAUUAUAAACCUCAAAGGAGAACUUUGAAGAGAGUAUCAAAGACAGCAAAGAGUCUUUGCAUAAAAUGAAUAUAAUGAACAGAUUUUGUUCUUUCUUGGUGUGGGUGUUGGUUUGCUUGUCGCUCUUGCUCACAUUUUGUUCCAGUAAAUCCAAAGCAUCUGUCUUGCUCACAACGCGUUUUCCUGGGAAGCUAAACUUCAACAGCUUAACAACGCAAUAUGAGCUCAGCUCAACUUUGAAUAUUGACUAUAUAUACAAGAGCAGGGAAGCUCGACUGCAACAGCUUAACAACGCAAGUGAUGGCUAUUUUUAUGAAGCUGCAAUUCUGACUAAAUCUCUUUUUGGGUACAUAUAUUGACCAGAAAAAGGGCAGGAUGAAUCUCCCUUGUACAGUGUGACCAAGCAAGCACACAGACAAGCAGGGCAUAUAUUCAAGUUGAAGAACUUUAGUCUGAACAACUGAUGAUUUCUGUGAUCUCAAGAUAGAUAACACAGUGCUUUUACGUCUGCAUUCUUCUCUUCAAGCAAUGUGCAUUGCUUUGGGGAUUAUCUACUACUGUGUUAGGAAUGCAACCAUCACAGUAUUAGCUCAAGUAUUUCGAAUUAUUUUGGUUUACUUUUUUUUUUUGGGUUUUUGAUUUACUUUUAUUGAGUCUAUUUAAAA